rnacentral:rRNA from 1 species
ACUCCAACCCCAUGUGACGUUACCAAUCUGUUGCCUCGGCGGGAUUCUCUUGCCCCGGGCGCGUCGCAGCCCCGGAUCCCAUGGCGCCCGCCGGAGGACCAACUCCAAACUCUUUUUUUCUCUCCGUCGCGGCUCCCGUCGCGGCUCUGUUUUAUUUUUGCUCUGAGCCUUUCUCGGCGACCCUAGCGGGCGUCUCGAAAAUGAAUCAAAACUUUCAACAACGGAUCUCUUGGUUCUGGCAUCGAUGAAGAACGCAGCGAAAUGCGAUAAGUAAUGUGAAUUGCAGAAUUCAGUGAAUCAUCGAAUCUUUGAACGCACAUUGCGCCCGCCAGUAUUCUGGCGGGCAUGCCUGUCCGAGCGUCAUUUCAACCCUCGAACCCCUCCGGGGGGUCGGCGUUGGGGAUCGGCCCCUCACCGGGCCGCCCCCGAAAUACAGUGGCGGUCUCGCCGCAGCCUCUCCUGCGCAGUAGUUUGCACACUCGCACCGGGAGCGCGGCGCGGCCACAGCCGUAAAACACCCCAAACUUCUGAAAUGUUGACCUCGGAUCAGGUAGGAAUACCCGCUGAACUUAAGCAUAUCAAUAAGCGGAGGAA